AAAUUGCAAGGAGACGCCGCCGCCUUCAUGCUGCCGGCGGACUGCUCGCGCCGGCUGGUGGCCGAGCUGCAGGGAGCCCUGGACGCCUGCGCACAGCGACAAUUGCAAUUGGAGCAGAGCCUGCGCGUUUGCCGUCGGCUGCUGCAUGCCUGGGAACCAACUGGGACCCGGGCUUUGAAGCCACGUCCAGGGCCAGAAACUAAUGAAGAGGACCCCCUUCCAGGUAAACCUCCACCACCCACCUUCUCCAGGUGCUGCUCUGGCCUGUCUGCUGGCUUGCAGUUGUGAGGAACCCUCCUGGGGGACAGUGGGGAGAGAUCCCUGCAUAAUUCUUGGCUUUCACAGCAUGCACACCUAGUCCACAAGACCUCAAAGAGUUGGAGUUUCUGACCCAGGCACUGGAGAAGGCUGUACGAGUUCGAAGAGGCAUCACUAAGGCUGGAGAAAGAGACAAGGCCCCCAGCCUGAAAUCUAGGCCCAUUGUCACCUCUUCUGGCACGACAGUCUCCGCCCCACCCCAUUCCCCAGGCCAAGCUGGUGGCCAUGCUUCAGACAGGAGACCCACCAAGGGCCUCUGCCAGA
rnacentral:sRNA from 1 species